rnacentral:lncRNA from 1 species
UAACAAAUUAUCAAAGGCCCUUUGAACUUUGUGGUAAAGGCGGGUGGCAACUUGCUAUACAUAGACCGUGUCCCAUAACUGGGGACAACAUGCUUAGUCCAGUUUGCACAAUAUUUAUAGCCACAAUUAUGGCAGGUUAUGAUUUUGAUAUAGCAAAGUUUAUUAACGGAGAGAUCCGUGAGUGAGCGGUUGGUACUGAUGUGGUUUUGGCUUCCCCAUG